rnacentral:tRNA from 1 species
AGUCUUAUAUUCAAAAAUGAUAUAAAAUUGCAAAUUUUAAGGAGUAAAUAAAUUACUAAGGCUU